rnacentral:rRNA from 1 species
UACAGAGGUCCCGAGCGUUGUUCGGAUUCACUGGGCGUAAAGGGUGCGUAGGUGGCUUUGCAAGUCUGAUGUGAAAUCCCCGGGCUUAACCUGGGAACUGCGCUUGUUACUGGCAGGCUUGAGUGUGGCAGAGGGGGGUGGAAUUCCACGUGUAGCAGUGAAAUGCGUAGAGAUGUGGAGGAACACCGAUGGCGAAGGCAGCCCCCUGGGCUAACACUGACGCUCAUGCACGAAAGCGUGGGGAGCAAACAGG